rnacentral:tRNA from 3 species
CGGGGUGUGGCGCAGCUUGGUAGCGCAUCUGCUUUGGGAGCAGAGGGUCGCAGGUUCAAAUCCUGUCACCCCGACCA